rnacentral:rRNA from 1 species
AUAAUGACGGUACUUGAGGAGGAAGCCCCGGCUAACUACUUGCCUGCAGCCGCGGCAAUACGUAGGUGGUUAGCGUUAUCCGGCUUUACUGGUCGCACAGGGUGCGUAGGCUGUCUUUCUAGUCCGUCUUGAAAUGCUACGGCUCAACCGUAGUAAGCUCUUGAAACUGGGAGACUUGAGUGCAGGAGAGGAGAGUGGAAUUCCUAGUGUA